rnacentral:rRNA from 1 species
UUUUGGUGAGGUGCCUUCCGAGUUCCCUGGAACGGGACGCCAUAGAGGGUGAGAGCCCCGUCUGGUUGGACACCGAUCCUCUGUAAAGCUCCUUCGACGAGUCGAGUAGUUUGGGAAUGCUGCUCUAAAUGGGAGGUAUAUGUCUUCUAAAGCUAAAUACCGGCCAGAGACCGAUAGCGCACAAGUAGAGUGAUCGAAAGAUGAAAAGAACUUUGAAAAGAGAGUUAAAAAGUACGUGAAAUUGUUGAAAGGGAAGCGCUUGUGACCAGACUUGGGCUUGGUUGAUCAUCCGGGGUUCUCCCCGGUGCACUCUUCCGGCUCAGGCCAGCAUCAGUUCGCCCUGGGGGAUAAAGGCUUCGGGAAUGUGGCUCUCUCCGGGGAGUGUUAUAGCCCGCUGCGUAAUACCCUGUGGCGGACUGA